rnacentral:rRNA from 1 species
GGACUACUCGGGUAUCUAAUCCUGUUUGCUCCCCACGCUUUCGCGCCUCAGCGUCAAUUCCAGGCCAGAUGGCCGCCUUCGCCACUGGUGUUCUUCCCAAUAUCUACGAAUUUCACCUCUACACUGGGAAUUCCGCCAUCCUCUCCUGGAUUCAAGUUCCGCAGUAUCAAGCGCAAUUCCCGGGUUGAGCCCGGGGCUUUCACGCCUGACUUACAAAACCGCCUACGCGCCCUUUACGCCCAGUAAAUCCGAACAACGCUAGCCCCCUUCGUAUUACCGCGGCUGCUGGCAC